UCCCUGUAAACUUUCAAGGCCUGGAUUCUGGGAUCCUAUUGGAAGAUACAAAUGGGAUGCUUGGAGUUCAUUGGGUGAUAUGACCAAAGAGGAAGCUAUGAUUGCAUAUGUUGAAGAAAUAAAAAAGAGCGCUAAUUCCUUAAGUUACAGUGGGUGUUAUACU